GGGGAAUAUUGCGCAAUGGGGGAAACCCUGACGCAGCAACGCCGCGUGAAGGAUGAAGGUUUUCGGAUCGUAAACUUCUUUGAUGAGGGACGAACAAAUGACGGUACCUCAAAAACAAGCCACGGCUAACUACGUGCCAGCAGCCGCGGUAAUACGUAGGUGGCGAGCGUUGUCCGGAAUUACUGGGUGUAAAGGGCGUGUAGGCGGGGAUGUAAGUCAGAUGUGAAAUACCAUGGCUCAACUGUGGGGCUGCAUCUGAAACUAUGGCGCUUGAGUGCUGGAGAGGGAAGCGGAAUUCCUAGUGUAGCGGUGAAAUGCGUAGAUAUUAGGAGGAACACCAGUGGCGAAGGCGGCUUUCUGGACAGUAACUGACGCUGAGGCGCGAAAGCGUGGGGAGCAAAC
rnacentral:rRNA from 1 species